rnacentral:rRNA from 1 species
GAUGAACGCUGGCGGCGUGCUUAACACAUGCAAGUCGAACGGAAAGGCCCAAGUUUGUUCGGGUAUUCGAGUGGCGAACGGGUGAGUAACAUGUGGGUGAUCCGCCUUGCACUUCGGGAUAAGCCUGGGCAACUGGGACUAAUACCGGCUAGGUCCACGACUUGGAGGUUGUGGUGGAAAGCUUUUUCGUUGUGGGAUGGGUUCGCUGCCUUACAGCUUGUUGGUGGGGAAAUGGCCUACCAAGGCGUAGACGGGUAGCCGGCCUGAGAGAGUGUACGGACACAUUGGAACUGAGAGGCAGCCCAGACUCCUGCAGAAGGCAGCAUGGGGGAAUAUUUCACAAUGGGCAGAAGCCUGAGGCAACGAGGCCGCGUGAGGGUUGACGACCUUCGGGUUGUAGGCACCUUACGCAGGUAACAAAGCGUUGUUGUGACGUUACCUAGAGAAGAAGCACCGGCUAACUACGUG